UACGAAGGGGGCUAGCGUUGCUCGGAAUUAUUGGGCGUAAAGGGCGCGUAGGCGGCCAUGCGUGUCUUCCGUGAAAUCCCUCGGCUUAACCGAGGACGUGCGGAAGAAACUGCAAGGCUCGAGUCCGGAAGAGGGGGGCGGAAUUCCCAGUGUAGCGGUGAAAUGCGUAGAUAUUGGGAGGAACACCAGUGGCGAAGGCGGUCCCCUGGGCCGGAACUGACGCUGAGGCGCGAAAGCGUGGGUAGCAAACAGG
rnacentral:rRNA from 1 species